rnacentral:lncRNA from 1 species
UGGGACCUCAGUGGCACAAGGCUCAUUUCUCAAGCAGAAGUACCUACCUGCUUGUCUUACCUGUCCAGGUGUCUGCUUGACUCCUGCUCAAUGCCUCAUUCUCUGUCCAUCUGGCCUGGUUGUCUGCCCACUGGUCCUCAGGAAGGAUCGUUAGACUUGUUCCUGCCUGCUGCACUCAACGUCUGCAGAAGGCCGCCUGACUUCCUGUCCGUCCAUCAUCUGCCUGUAGCCUGCCUUCCCAUGGCUCUGAUUGCAGCUGACUCUCUUGCACCUGGGCUCUACGUUAUGAGUGAAUCAAGAUAAGAAGUCUUCUGGGAACCUCCUUCCUGUGAUCUAGAUAAUAG